ensembl:lncRNA
GCCAAGCCUCCCACUUCCCCUCCUACUCCCAAGGAAGGGAGGAAGCAUCUUAAGCAGGACAACUCCUGCUGAAGGCUGUGUCCUCCCUGGUGGAAGGAACGGGAAUGAGCAGGAGCAGAAGCAGCAUGAGGUGAAUCAGGAAGCAAGUCUAUAAGGGAUAUGGAAACAGACUGAAGAUCCUUUCACUGCAAGAAUUUUACCAUCUGGCUGCUAUUGUUAUCAUUAUUAUGGAAAUGUUUUUACUGUCAGAGGGAAGUACCAGCAGUGGCACUAUCUGAGCACAACAUCAAGAGGCAGCAAGGCAAAUUUGCGUGCCGGGAGUAGAGAAGCGUCUCCAUGCCAGAACAGAAACUCUGGUCCAGCAUUUCCCAUUCAUCUCGUUGCCCUUGUCUAGGUAUUGCCUGCAUAAGUACAUUCAGAUGUCAUUCAUCUUAGAAGUACUUUUCUUUUUUCCCAAAGCUGCUUCCUGCUGCAAUCCUGGAGCAGAAACAGGUUGAUUGUUUAAAAUAGUUUUACAAUCAUGUUAACCGGUA